rnacentral:rRNA from 1 species
CAAUAGCGUAUAUUAAAGUUGUUGCGGUUAAAAAGCUCGUAGUUGGAUUUCUGCUUAGGACAGCCGGUCCGCACUACGUGCGUGUAUCUGGUUUGGCCUGGGCAUCCUAUCCGAAGGGGAUACUGUGCUUGAUUGCAUGGUUUUCAGUCGGGUACUUUUACUUUGAGGAAAUUAGAGUGUUCACGGCAGGCAAUCGCCCUGAAUAUAUUAGCAUGGAAUAAUAAUAUAGGAUCUGAUGCCUAUUUUGUUGGUUUCUAGGUGUUAGAUAAUGAUUAAUAGGGACAAUUGGGGGCAUUCGUAUUAUGGCGUCAGAGGUGGAAUUCUUGGAUUGCCAUACGACGAACUACUGCGAAAGCAUUUGCCAAGGAUGUUUUCAUUGAUCAAGAACGAAAGUUAGGGGAUCGAAGACGAUCAGAUACCGU